AUUGAACGCUGGCGGCAUGCCUUACACAUGCAAGUCGAACGGUAACGGGCCUUCGGGUGCCGACGAGUGGCGAACGGGGGAGUAAUACAUCGGAACGUGCCCGAUCGUGGGGGAUAACGAGGCGAAAGCUUUGCUAAUACCGCAUACGAUCUACGGAGGAAAGCAGGGGACCGCAAGGCCUUGCGCGGACGGAGCGGCCGAUGGCAGAUUAGGUAGUUGGUGGGGUAAAAGCUUACCAAGCCGACGAUCUGUAGCUGGUCUGAGAGGAUGAUCAGCCACACUGGGACUGAGACACGGCCCAGACUCCUACGGGAGGCAGCAGUGGGGAAUUUUGGACAAUGGGCGCAAGCCUGAUCCAGCCAUGCCGCGUGCAGGAUGAAGGCCUUCGGGUUGUAAACUGCUUUUGUACGGAACGAAAAGCCUUCUUUUAAUACAGGAGGGUCAUGACGGUACCGUAAGAAUAAGCACCGGCUAACUACGUG
rnacentral:rRNA from 1 species